rnacentral:rRNA from 1 species
UACGUAGGGCGCAAGCGUUGUCCGGAAUUAUUGGGCGUAAGGAGCUCGUAGGCGGCCUGUUGCGUCCGCUGUGAAAUCCCGGGGCUUAACCCCGGGCCUGCAGUGGAUACGGGCAGGCUAGAGUUCGGUAGGGGAGACUGGAAUUCCUGGUGUAGCGGUGAAAUGCGCAGAUAUCAGGAGGAACACCGGUGGCGAAGGCGGGUCUCUGGGCCGAUACUGACGCUGAGGAGCGAAAGCGUGGGGAGCGAACAGG